rnacentral:rRNA from 1 species
AUUGAACGCUGGCGGCAGGCUUAACACAUGCAAGUCGAGCGGGGGAAGGUAGCUUGCUACUGGACCUAGCGGCGGACGGGUGAGUAAUGCUUAGGAAUCUGCCUAUUAGUGGGGGACAACAUCUCGAAAGGGAUGCUAAUACCGCAUACGUCCUACGGGAGAAAGCAGGGGAUCUUCGGACCUUGCGCUAAUAGAUGAGCCUAAGUCGGAUUAGCUAGUUGGUGGGGUAAAGGCCUACCAAGUCGACGAUCUGUAGCGGGUCUGAGAGGAUGGUCCGCCACACUGGGACUGAGACACGGCCAAGACUCCUACGGGAGGCAGCAGUGGGGAAUAUUGGACAAUGGGGGGAACCCUGAUCCAGCCAUGCCGCGUGUGUGAAGAAGGCCUUAUGGUUGUAAAGCACUUUAAGCGAGGAGGAGGCUACUCUAGUUAAUACCUAGGGAUAGUGGACGUUACUCGCAGAAUAAGCACCGGCUAACUCUGUGCCAGCCGCCGCGGUAA